rnacentral:rRNA from 1 species
AGGACAAACGCUGGCGGGGUGCGUGAGACAUGCAAGUCGAACGAGGUGCCAUCGGGCUUGCUCGAUGGCUACCUAGUGGCGGACGGCUGAGUAACGCGUAGGUGACCUACCCGGAAGUGGGGAAUAACUGCCCGAAAGGGUGGCUAAUACCGCAUACGGUCGACGAUUCGUUUCGUCGUCCAAAGGAGUAAUCCGCUUCCGGCGGGGCCUGCGUCCGAUUAGCUAGUUGGUGGGGUAACGGCUCACCAAGGCGACGAUCGGUAGCUGGUCUGAGAGGAUGAUCAGCCAGACUGGGACUGAGAACGGCCCAGACUCCUACGGGAGGCAGCAGUCGGGAAUUUGCCCAAUGGACGAAAGUCUGAGGCAGCAACUCCGCGUGAGGGACGAAGGCUCUCGGGUCGUAAACCUCUUUUCUCAAGGAAGAUCCAAGACGGUACCUGAGAAUAAGCCACGGCUAACUACGUGCCAGCAAGCCGC